rnacentral:rRNA from 1 species
UACGUAGGCAGCAAGCGUUGUUCGGAGUUACUGGGCGUAAAGGGUGUGUAGGCGGUUUUCUAAGUCUGGUGUGAAAUCUCCCGGCUCAACUGGGAGGGUGCGCCGAAAACUGGAAGGCUAGAGUGCGGGAUGGGAGAGUGGAAUUCCUGGUGUAGCGGUGAAAUGCGUAGAUAUCUGGAGGAAUACCGGUGGCGAAGGCGGCAUCCUGGACCGGCAUUGACGCUGAGGAGCGAAAGCCAGGGGGAGCAAACGGG